AGUGAACGCUGGCGGCAGGCCUAACACAUGCCAGUCGAACGGCAGCACAAGAGAGCCUGCUCUCUGGGUGGCGAGUGGCGGACGGGUGAGGAAUGCAUCGGAAUCUGCCCAUUUGUGGGGGAUAACCUCGGGAAACCGGGACUAAUACCGCAUACGACCUACGGGUGAAAGCAGGGGAUCUUCGGACCUUGCGCAGAUGGAUGAGCCGAUGCCGGAUUAGCUAGUUGGAGGGGUAAAGGCCCACCAAGGCGACGAUCCGUAGCUGGUCUGAGAGGAUGAUCAGCCACACUGGGACUGAGACACGGCCCAGACUCCUACGGGAGGCAGCAGUGGGGAAUAUUGGACAAUGGGCGCAAGCCUGAUCCAGCCAUGCCGCGUGUGUGAAGAAGGCCUUCGGGUUGUAAAGCACUUUUGUUGGGAAAGAAAAGCAGCCGGUUAAUACCCGGUUGUCAUGACGGUACCCAAAGAAUAAGCACCGGCUAACUUCGUG
rnacentral:rRNA from 1 species